UUUCUAUGUCCUCCCACCCUGAAUGUUCCUGACCCCAUUUGGUCUCAGAGCUAAGCAGAGCAGGGUCUGGUUGUUACUUAGAUGGAAGAUGAGACCAGUUUCAAAGAUAC
ensembl:rRNA 5S_rRNA 5S ribosomal RNA